UACGUAGGGUGCAAGCGUUGUCCGGAAUUAUUGGGCGUAAAGAGCUCGUAGGCGGUUUGUCGCGUCGGCUGUGAAAACCUGGGGCUCAACCCCGGGCCUGCAGCCGAUACGGGCAAACUAGAAUUCGGUAGGGGAGACUGGAAUUCCUGGUGUAGCGGUGAAAUGCGCAGAUAUCAGGAGGAACACCGGUGGCGAAGGCGGGUCUCUGGACAGUUCCUGACGCUGAGGCACGAAGGUCAGGGGAGCAAACGGG
rnacentral:rRNA from 1 species